UCCUGGUGGCUCAGUGGUAAAGAAUCUGCCUGCAAUGCAGAGACUCAGGUUCAAUCCCUGGGUCAGGAA
rnacentral:tRNA from 1 species